rnacentral:rRNA from 1 species
GAUGAACGCUGGCGGCGUGCUUAACACAUGCAAGUCGAACGGGAAACCUUUUAUUGAAGCUUCGGCAGAUUUAGCUGGUUUCUAGUGGCGGACGGGUGAGUAACGCGUGGGUAACCUGCCUUAUACAGGGGGAUAACAGUCAGAAAUGGCUGCUAAUACCGCAUAAGCGCACAGAGCUGCAUGGCUCAGUGUGAAAAACUCCGGUGGUAUAGGAUGGACCCGCGUUGGAUUAGCUGGUUGGUGGGGUAACGGCCCACCAAGGCGACGAUCCAUAGCCGGCCUGAGAGGGUGAACGGCCACAUUGGGACUGAGACACGGCCCAGACUCCUACGGGAGGCAGCAGUGGGGAAUAUUGCACAAUGGGGGAAACCCUGAUGCAGCGACGCCGCGUGAAGGAAGAAGUAUCUCGGUAUGUAAACUUCUAUCAGCAGGGAAGAUAAUGACGGUACCUGACUAAGAAGCCCCGGCUAACUACGUG